UACGAGAGGCCCAAACGUUAUUCGGAUUUACUGGGCUUAAAGAGUUCGUAGGCGGUCUAGCAAGUGAGGUGUGAAAUCCCUUGGCUCAACCAAGGAAUUGCGCUUCAAACUGCUAGGCUCGAGGGAGAUAGAGGUGAGCGGAACUGAUGGUGGAGCGGUGAAAUGCGUUGAUAUCAUCAGGAACACCAGAGGCGAAGGCGGCUCACUGGGUCUCUUCUGACGCUGAGGAACGAAAGCUAGGGGAGCAAACGGG
rnacentral:rRNA from 1 species